UACGUAGGGGCCUAGCGUUGUCCGGAAUUAUUGGGCGUAAAGCGCUCGCAGGUGGUUCGUCGCGUCGUGCGUGAAAGACCCCGGCUCAACUGGGGAGGGUCGUGCGAUACGGGCGGACUGGAGGCCAGUAGGGGGAUGCGGAAUUCCGGGUGUAGUGGUGGAAUGCGUAGAGAUCCGGAGGAACACCAGCGGCGAAGGCGGCAUCCUGGACUGGUCCUGACACUCAUGAGCGAAAGCGUGGGGAGCGAUCCGG
rnacentral:rRNA from 1 species